rnacentral:lncRNA from 1 species
GGAAGCGACCGGAAUCGUGAUGGAAGCGCGGUUCCAGAAAAUUGAAGAUUGGAAGCUUCUGGGAAGCGUUCGAUUCGGACUUGGAAGCGUGGUUUUUUUAUCAACGGAAGCGCAGCCUUCCCACAGAAACCCACCCGUCGUUUAUCCUCACAAACUAAUCCAGAGAGUAGUGAAUCAAGAAGAAGUACGUACCUCCGGUGAACAGAUCUGACGUGGAGAUCACAAGAGAGUAGAGAGAAGACGCAAAGCUCAAAACUUUCUGUUAUAGACUCGUAAAAGGGAAGUGAAUGAAGAAGAAGAUACAGAGCCAACAUGAAAGACCCUUUUACCCUUCUAGUUGUGACUAAUUACUGAUACCCACAACUUGUGCUUCUCACGUGUCAAUGGAGAGAGGUUGUCUUGAAACCUCUGAUUGCUUGAGAGUCUUCAUGACACCAAAACCUACACUCUUUUCAAGUUGUCUUCGGUGGUUUCAGUUUUAGAUCUAAUCGGCGACUCUUCUCUCAAGUCAGUCUCCGACAAAUUUAUUGAAAGGAAUCUGACUACCACAAGCCAUAUUUGGGCUUUAAUUUUUUUAUUCUUUUAAGUCUAAUUUUGUUUAAAUGGCCCGUUUUUAUUUGCGUUUUUAUUCUUUUAUUAAGACAUCCAAAAUAUUUUAUUGUUAACAAUGCAUUUCUUACUUUUGAUGACUAUAUUUAUUAUUCUACAUGUUAUGUAUUUCGUUUGGUUUAAAAUUUUCUCAAUUAUCAUGCAUAUCCAAUGGUUAGUGUAGAGUAAAUUAAAUAUUUAAUAAAUCUAUAUAUAUAUAUAUAUGUAUAUAUUUACGCUUCUAACACGUACCCGCUUCCUAACUUUUUUAAAAAACUCGUUUCCCCGCUUCCAAACGCUUCCGCUUCC